rnacentral:rRNA from 1 species
GAAGAUGUAACGGGGCUAAACCAUGCACCGAAGCUGCGGCAGCGACACUAUGUGUUGUUGGGUAGGGGAGCGUUCUGUAAGCCUGUGAAGGUGUGCUGUGAGGCAUGCUGGAGGUAUCAGAAGUGCGAAUGCUGACAUAAGUAACGAUAAAGCGGGUGAAAAGCCCGCUCGCCGGAAGACCAAGGGUUCCUGUCCAACGUUAAUCGGGGCAGGGUGAGUCGACCCCUAAGGCGAGGCCGAAAGGCGUAGUCGAUGGGAAACGGGUUAAUAUUCCCGUACUUGGUGUUACUGCGAAGGGGGGACGGAGAAGGCUAUGUUGGCCGGGCGACGGUUGUCCCGGUUUAAGCGUGUAGGUGUGUGUUCCAGGUAAAUCCGGUUCACUUUAACACUGAGGCGUGAUGACGAGGCACUACGGUGCUGAAGCAACAAAUGCCCUGCUUCCAGGAAAAGCCUCUAAGCAUCAGGUAACAUCAAAUCGUACCCCAAACCGACACAGGUGGUCAGGUAGAGAAUACCAAGGCGCUUGAGAGAACUCGGGUGAAGGAACUAGGCAAAAUGGUGCCGUAACUUCGGGAG